GACCCGGAGUCUGUCCCAAUUUCCUGUCUCUAACCUCACUGUAAGUGCUGACCCACUUCUGGCUAUUUUUAUUUGUUUCUUUGAAAAUGCUCACUGUGAUUGGAGUUGACUUGCCGACUCUGUUCUGUAUCCUUCCCACCACCUGAGUCCCAGAGGGCAGCGCUUCCCACCUCAUGCCAGUAAUGAUGGAGAUUUCUCCAGGACGUUACCUGGAGGAGGUACACAGUGUGAGGACACGCUCUGUGCUUUUCCUACUUGGGUCCGCAUGGGCACUUCUCCUGCCCUGCCGUGCUUCUGCCAUUUCUGAUGGAAAUAGCUCGAAAGACUCCUGCUUCUC
rnacentral:lncRNA from 10 species